GAGGGAGAUAAUAAACCUUUAUUUGUGUUAACAGGCAGGAGAGGCUGGUGGAGGUAGGGCAGACAUCAGGUUCCAUCGACUGACCCAGGCACUGGCUGGAGUUCAGAUUAAAUGUUCAGGUGAACUGUGGUGGUGGCGGCGGUGGCGGCGGCGGCAGUGGCAGUGGCGGUGGUAGGGACUCUCCUCCACGUUUGCUCGGUAUGCACAUGAGAAUAAACGGUUAGUCAGCAGCAGUGGGGAUAGAGUUUUGACACAUGGGAUGCUUUCUGAUAUGAUACUAAACUUUGUUAAAAAUGGGUCGGAUAAUAGAGGAUGGUUGUGAAAGGCUUCCCUAGGGGCCAGAGAAAAGAGGCCAGAGUUCCAAUUCAGCGGGUUAUUUUGGGCUUACCCCAGGCAGCGGGGCAGACGAGACAUCCUCUUAGCGCCCUAUUGUUCCCUUCCUCUGACCCAUAAUAAACGAGGCUGCACUCCUGUUGCGAAGAAGCGUUCAAGCAUGCUCACAAAUGCUCACACUGUUGGCCAGUCCAGUCCCGUGGCUGUAAAUGUCGAUAUGGAAGGUUCUGAAGUCACCUUUUGUCUAGAAAACUACUUCCAUGGCUUAGCACAGAAAAUCCAAAUCUUUUUCUGUAAAGGGCUUUGUUCUGCAUCUCAAAGUGAACAGGCGAGGCCUACCAGGUUACCUCCGGAGUCAGCACCCUCCUCUGAGUCCCCAGGAGUCAGUGGCGGUGGCGGUGGCGGUGGCAGUGGCAGCAGCAGCAGCAAAACCAAUCGUUCCAGGUCAGAAUAUAGCAUCCGACCCGGAGUUAGCAUAGGUCCUGGGCAUGGAAGAAGGGCCGAGGUGUUUCAGGCUUCUGAGCAGAAACAAACUUCAGGGGAUGGGGCUCCCUGGCCCUGGGGUGAGGGGUGGCAGAGGAACUCUGGCCUCUCAUCCUUAGCUAUCCAUUUCACAGUUUGUGUUCCCUUUCCACCAAUCACAAAUGUCGCGCAUAUUUACUAUAAAAAGGGAAACAAAGACACACCACAAAACAAGGGCAACAACACGCCACGAAAUGA
rnacentral:lncRNA from 1 species